UUAGGUAUUUCGUUAUUCGAUUUUCAUUUGACUACUUUUAUUCAAUCAGUUGUUUUUCCUUCAAUUUUCAUCUAAUCAAAACUCCAGAUUGGACGUACAUUAACCGUCAGUUCCUCUUUCAGUCUCGUUCUUUCUCUUACCCGGGCAUUUCUCUUCUACAUUUGCUUUUGCUUUUACCUGUAAAUACUGAGAUCGCAGAGAUGGAUCUUUAUAAAGCUUAUGCUUUUAUAUAUGAUAGCUUAUGAUUAAAUUAGGCGCUCUACACGAGUAUUUUUCUUUAGUCAAAGAGUAAAAACACGGUAGAAUCAUAUGGAUCACAUGUAUACUGAUGCCUGUUAUGGAGCCUAGUUGGAAUUCAUUAAAUUAAUCUUGUCGGAUUGUCCUACGUCAGCUGCUGAUGUAAUACUCCUCUUGCUACAACUUACUUGUCUAGCAUACCGUCCGCUCAAAACCAACUUUAUUUAUUUUUGUGAACGUUGUGCUAUGAUGAUAAAUUUAUCAUGCACCAGUCUGAUUAACUCGUGGUUAUGAUGACAAUAGAGUCUACCCCUUUUUCUCUGAACCGCUACAUUCAUAGUGUCUUGCAACGUGCAGUUUUUUUUUUCUCUUCUCACCCUUAUUUUGUUUGAUUUAAAAUUUAAAUAUACUUCUCCUGUUUUCCUGGUUGUUUUUUGGCUAUCCGUUUAUAUGCAUGUUUUUACGAGGUUUUUGUUUAAGUACAUGCAUUUUGCUAAGGCGCUACCAGAAAAAGGAGACAGGCUUACAGAUUUAUAUAUAUAUCGGGAACCAAAUGAUGCGGUCUUGUGUUUAUAGUAAGACCGAUCAUGAUGCGGACUGAAAAUUGAUCUGUCGAUAAAACUGGAGAUUCUGAUGGUUCCUUCCCAUCCAUUAUAAUUUAAUAGUGGGAAUAUUUAACACCGAUGUGUUUAUUGGUCAAAUGUGGAAGUUUGUGUUUCAUGCAACUACAGUCUUUAAAAUUUAAAUUAAGAAUGCGUGUAGGUUGUUUUUUUUAUCAAAUCCAGGUUGUUAGGAGAUGGAACUACUUCAAAGAUGUUCUUUAUCUCUUUCAUUCAUUUUGCAUAAAUUGAUAAGUGAAUAUUGAGAGAUUACUUCUUUCCCUUUCCUGCUGAUCUGCCUUUCUCCUUGAUUCACAGAGACAUAGAUCUCUCUUGAGGAUUCCAAUAUGGUGUCUGUAUCAUUGUAGUUCUAGACGAUAAUUCUGCAUAGUGUGCUACCAAAAAUGUGUUACGAUGGUACAAUCUAUUGUUAUUGUGGAUGUAAACACCACAUUUUAUUGUAUGCCUUACCUACAUCGAUGCAUUCAGUGGGAUUUAUCUUCCAUGUUUUUAGCUUUAAGUGUCUUUAUUCAAUGGAUUCAGUGUUAAAAAAAAAGGUCGUGUGUUUCAUGAAAAUGAGGAUUGGUAUAAUUGUGUACUUUUCAUGAAGUUAAGGAUGCAUGGAUGGCAAACUUAUCAAUGUGGUGAAUAUGAUAAUGCAAAGAUGAACUUGAUCUAAUGGUCAUUCUCUGGUUCUAAUGGUCAAAGGUAUCCAAAAGAGAAGGUAUAUCAACAUGGGCUGUGGUUGUUCAGUCUUACUCCUGUAAUCUGAUUUCAGGUUUCCUUCUAUAAAUUAUUGCAAAACGUGUGUCUUUUUGCAUUUGUGCACACAGAUGGCUACGAUGAGAAAGCUUGUCAUUGGGUUGUUUUUCUUUAUUUGUGCACACAGAUUUCAUGUUAAGAUGGCUAUGAUGAGAAAGUUUGUCAUGCACCUCUUUGAUUGUCAUUGGGUUGUUUUUCUUUAUUUGUGCACACAGAUUUCAUGUUAAGAUGGCUAUGAUGAGAAAGUUUGUCAUGCACCACUCUGAUUCCCAUCGGGUUGUGAUGAUACUUGACUUUACCCAUUGAAUCUGAGCUCUCUCUUGUCUUCUGUAUGAAGAGCUUUUUUUAAUAUAUUUUCUUUGCUAUUCUACUACACAUAUUUUUCCGUUGAAAAUCUUGAUGCAGAUUUGUACAUUGAUUUACACUUUUAUUAGUUUUUCUUUUUACCUGAUUUUUUUUUAUUUUAUGAGUUCCCAUUGACAUGAAGACAGAAUUGACAGUUGAAUGAAAUUGUAUGGGGAUCCAGAUGAUGUGGUCUUGUCUUUUUGACAAGAUCAACCACGAUGCGGUCUGGAACUGCUUUGAUGAUAAAAUUGGCAAUUCUGAUGGUUUCCCCUUUUUGUUCGUUAACUGAUAGUUUUAUGCUUAUUUUGCAAUGUAUAUAUAACUCAAAAGGGCUUUAUUUCUAAGGAUUUUUGUCAAAAAAGGUCAAAUCUCUUUUGUAUGAGGUAAUGCCAGUGAUUUAAGAGAUCAUUUUAUACUUGAUUCUUUUUGUUUUGUGGUGCUCUUCUCCCUUGUAGGAGAUGAAGUCUGUUAAAUUUAAUUAUUAUUUGUUAGAAAGCAUGAAUGAUCUUUUUUUUUUUUUGAAAAGAAGUGGCUCUCUUUUCCUGUGUCCAUUGACCGAACCCGUCUUUAUUCAAUUCUUUCUAUUGCUUGAACAUGAAGCCCCCUCUGCCAUCCGAACCUGUGUCUUCAUCAAAUUGUUUCUCUUGCAUAAAGUUCCCUCUGCCAUCCUUCCCAUUCAUUCCUUUGCAAUCCUCAGACCUGAUUUUUUUUUGUCUUUGAUUAAAUGAGGGAAUGGGCUCCAGUUUAUUGUGUCUAUCUAGUUGGAUCACUUGAUCCCAUCUCUAAUAUGGGUCUGGAAUCAUAUCCGGAAUCAGUACAGUUCUAAUGACUUGCUAUUCUUUUGUGAAUCUGAACUUGCCGUCCUUUGUAGAUACUACUACUGUUUUCUACAUGCUUGUGAAGUGCCUUAAUUCAUAUACAUUGUUUAACGUUAGGAUAACUGCGAUUUUUUGUGUCCUUGGUUGUCCAAUUUGUCUAUAUUCUUUCAAUGGGCUUCUUCCAGCAUACUUGAGUCUGGUGCUGUUUUCAUGCAUAGAGAAAUCGACAACUUGAAUUUGUCAUUGUACCUUGUUCUGUUAUAGAAUUUAUCUGAUGCAAUACCCAUCCCUAAGGUUUUUGUGUGUUUCCUGUUGAUUUUGUUUAGAAAAGAUUUUAAAAAGCUGCUUAAAUGUUUACACUUGCGGACAUUGUUACAGAGAGCCCUUAAUUUGUAGUGGCUGAUGAAGAAUCUGGGGCAUUAAGAAGUAGAUGUCUUCAGAGGUUGUUCGCAAUUUAUCAACUACAUUGUCUACCGAUUGUUUUUGGUACCAGAUCGUUUAGAUUUGUGGAUGCAAUGCCACUGUAACGGAUAUUCAGCAACUUGACAAUAAUGACGAUCUUUGGUGCCUCUUGAGGGGUCAAUGUCUCCAUGCUUAAGAAACGUUAUCUGAAGGCGAGAUUGCAGACAUUCGGUGACAAAUGAUUUUUUGUGUAUCACCAGUUUUGGCUCUUUCGUAAAGUUGGUUCUCACGGGGAAGCUGGUAAAUCUUGGUGCUUUUUGAAGUGCGUUCUCAAAGGAGUGUUUGGUUUUGGACUGGCUUGGUUUGGCAGAAAAGAAACACUGUAUAUACAUCAUAUGUCCACAUGACUAUAGUGAUAAUGAUAAUUGUGUAUGUACGACAUUAUUAAUAUCA